rnacentral:rRNA from 1 species
CCUACGGGAGGCAGCAGCCAGGAAUCUUGGGCAAUGGGCGAAAGCCUGACCCAGCAACACCGUGUGGGUGAUGAAGGCCUUCGGGUCGUAAAGCCCUGUUGAUAGGGACGAAGGGCGAAGGGUUAAUAGCCUACAGCUUGACGGUACCUUUCGAGGAAGCCCCGGCUAACUACGUGCCAGCAGCCGCGGUAAUACGUAGGGGGCGAGCGUUGUCCGGAAUUAUUGGGCGUAAAGAGCGUGUAGGCGGUUCGGUAAGUCUGUCGUGAAAUCCUGGGGCUCAACCCUGGGCGUGCGAUGGAUACUGCCGGGCUAGAGGGUGGUAGAGGCGAGUGGAAUUCCCGGUGUACCGGUGAAAUGCGCAGAUAUCGGGAGGAACACCAGUAGCGAAGGCGGCUCGCUGGGCCACACCUGACGCUGAGACGCGAAAGCUAGGGGAGCGAACAGGAUUAGAUACCCUGGUAGUCCUACCCGUAAACGAUGGACACUAGGUGUGGGCGGAGUCGAAUCU